CCUACGUGAGGCAGCAGUGAGGAAUAUUGGUCAAUGGACGCAAGUCUGAACCAGUCAUGCCGCGUGCAGGAAGACGGCUCUAUGAGUUGUAAACUGCUUUUGUACGAGGGUCACCGCAGAUACGCUUAUCUGUCUGAAAGUCUCGUACGAAUAAGGAUCAGCUAACUCCGUGCCCGCAGCCGCAGUAAUACGGAGGAUUCAAGCGUUAUCCGGAUUUAUUGGGUUUAACGGGUUCGUAGGCGGUCGGAUAAGUUCUAGGUGAAGUCCCGAGGCUCAACUUCGGAAUUGCCUCUGAUACUGUUCGGCUAGAGAGUAGUUGCGGUAGGCGGAAUGUAUGGUGUAGCGGUGAAAUGCUUAGAGAUCAUACAGAACACCGAUUGCGAAGGCAGCUGACCAAGCUACUUCUGACGUUGAGGCACGAAAGCGUGGGGAGCAAACAGGAUUAGAUACCCUAGUAGUC
rnacentral:rRNA from 1 species